CCGGUCCAGAUGUGCCGGUACGCGUCCCAGCAGGGCGGUGAUUGCUGCGCACCCGCGUGCGGCCGCCGGCUCCGAACGCCCCGGGAACCGGCCAAUUCCAGCGUCCGUGUCGCGCGCUCCGUGUCACAGCACGACGCGGCUCCACGGUCCGCGCCGCGGCGUCAUCGUCGCACCUCGAGGCGCGGCGGAAACGCUCAGGUUUUUGUGAUUCUCCUCAGAAGCGCCCCUAAUUCCGGCGCCACUGCUGAGCGGCCGUCGGCGGGGUCCUGCUUUGGUCGUUACCAUGGGAACGGACGGGCUCCGGCCCAUAGCGACAGGAGUAAAGGGAUGCGGUCGAUGAAGUGAGCAGCGCUGGAACAAACACCUCCGGUGGAGUGAAGCGUGAGCAACUGGGUGGUGGUCGCGUUUGUGUCUCUGACGCUCGCUGUGUAAACCUCAGCUUCCACGUGUUGAAUGCAGUAGAUCCAGUUUAAACUACAGCUGCGGCGGAGCCACGAACCCACCUCUGCAGCUGAAACACACAAAGCUGUUUUCUCUCAAGAGCUCCUCAUCCACAAGAAAUGACUUAUGGUAAUUUCCUGGGGAGAUCGGAGAUAAAGGCAGAGAAUAUUGACGGAGGCCUUUCAUGACGACUCAUAGGCAGAGAGACGCAAUCAUCGUUUCCAGUGGGUCGACUUUAGCUUCAGCGUCUCCAUGUACGACCACGAGCCAGAAACACAAAGAAUGUGUUUCAUAAAGGGAUUUGUUUGCUUCACUUCAGGAAUAAACCAAGAUAGUGAUGAUGACAGUUACUCUAAGGACCUUGUUUGUGUGGACAAAAUGAAGAUAUUAAAAAGUGACAGAUAAUUCAAACAGUUGUGAAAGAAACAACUGAAGCAUCACAGGGUGAUUUUACAGGUCAGUGUGUAAACACAACUCAGAUAGCGGUGUUAUAAUAGAGUAAAAAGCCUUAAUGUGUUUCAUAUUUGUAUGCGAUAAAGUCUCCAUAAAUUCCAUAAAUACCUUCUGA